GGUGACUCUGCUGUAGCUGGAGGAGGAGCUUCAAAAGGAGCCAGACAGCCCAGAAGGGGACAGGCAGGGAAGGAGGACAGACCUAUCCUGACAGCACCUGAACAGGAGUACUGCAAAAGCCUUCGCUGUCAGGAAGAGGUGACGUUCCAGGGGGAUUUAUCACUCCACAGGAGGGGUAGGAAGAGAUAGAUGGGUACUGAAGAGACAUGGGGAGGUUAUCCAGUGUCCUGGGAAGGUCAGAAAACAAGUGCGAGAGUAAAAAAGGCCUGUAAUUAAGAACAACAGGCAGGGGAUGAAAACAUUUGACCCAUGAGAACAUGAGAUGGUGGGACUGUUGCUGUCUGACCCUUCUAACUGAAAACCCCCUGAACAUAUACAAAGAGAAAGAGAAGCGAUUCUAGGAAAACAGAUGACAUAUCUUACAAACACUAACUUCUCCCUGAGGUUUGUUUUCAUGCCGUUCCUUUAGGUUUUGAAAGGGAAAUGCAUGCCACCUUGAGAGACAUGGGAAGAAACUGUCUGGAGGCAUACUGAGUAAGGAGACAUCCAGGGAAAUAAAUGCAGUUGGGAACUGGAAAGGCCUAGAGAACAACCAUGUUUGAGACGGGAAGUGCAAAGUCAAUUUAGCAUGGUCAUUCCUGAGUAUCCCAGUCACAAUAAUCACCUCUUGCCACUGUAGCGAGUGUCAGUAAUGAAGUCUAUCAGAGUGGCCAGAAAAAAGAAGACUGAGGAGCUGGUAAAAGGUCUGCAUACAACAAAAUGAGCUGCAAGGGAUAUUUUACUCUCCCAGCUACUGCAGGUAGUCGGUCAAGGUCAGGGAAGACAAAACAUACAUUGCUUCAGCCGCCUGAGAGGAUAAACUAUUGCAAGUAAGUGGGGGUGAAUCUCGUUAUGAAGUGAGCCAGGAGAGUAGGAAUAAAAGGGAAGAAGAUAGAGAAAUUAUCAAAGGAAAAAAUAGAAGAUUUAGACAAGAAACUAGAAAAGAAGAGAGCGGGCGGGAUUUAGAAAUGAUGAAGAAAUAGAAGAAAAUGUGUGCAGAAAAAAACAACACUGGAAACACACAACAGUAGGUGUUUUAUAAGGGAUGGCUCUUCCCCAUGUAGGAUGUGUUUUGGACAAUCCUUGUUUGCAGAGCUGAUCAGAAAAAAAAAAUUCUGCUUAGAAGUCUUGAUUUGCUCUGGGUUUCCCAUCCAGGGACUCUGAGCCUUGUGUGAA